GAAACUUGUCUCCUUGACCGCCCUCCCGGCGCAGCUGGUCCUGUCAUUACUGUUUGACGGGAGGGUGACAGGUGCCCCCGGUCGCCGCCCAGCGGGAGUUUUGCUUAAAUGCCCCCACGGCUUGCCUUGCUAGUGGAGCAGGGAUUCUCUAUUUGAAAGCUGAAGAAACACGCUGAGACUUUGUCUACACUGAGAAAAUUUCAUGGUAUCUGCAGAUUCAGGAAGACAGCACUGCAUCAAUUGUAUUCCACUCACAUUUGGAAUUCUUUACAACGAUGAGGACUAGAAACUCACUUUUUAAAAUACACCACCACCACUCAGUGACUGAAAUGCUGAUCAAAGGAGAGAGCCUGACUGAAAAUUAACUUGACCUGAGCAGCCAACAUGGAUGGAACACUUGAAGAACUUUGCUAUAUGGUAAUUACACUGAAGAGCUGUCUAAUGAAUUGCUAGGGAUUUGAAGAGGAACUCUGGAGCUCAAAAGCUUCUCUUCCACCAAAAGAAGUUGGUCCUACCCACCUUCUCUCUCUCAACUAGUUGUGCUGGCAAUUGAAAGCUAAAUCCAAAUACAUCUUCUAUACUGUGAAAUGGAGCUUAUGUUAUUUUCACUCACCUGCUAUUACACUGAAGUUAAGAUGGCAUACAAUGCUUUUUUGACAUAUAGCCUGGAGUAUAUGAGCUUUAUAUCUGGUGGGAGUUAGCUUUGAAGAUUUUAU